GAUGAACGCUCGCGGGAGGCUUAACACAUGCAAGCCGAGGGGUAUAGUUCUUUCGGGAACUAGAGACCGGCGCACGGGUGCGUAACGCGUAUGCAACUUGCCCUACUGAAAAGGAUAGCCCUUCGAAAGGAGGAUUAAUACUUUAUAACAGAUUUAAUGGCAUCAUUAGAUUUUGAAAGAUUUAUCGCAGUAGGAUAGGCAUGCGUAAGAUUAGUUAGUUGGUGAGGUAACGGCUCACCAAGACGAUGAUCUUUAGGGGGCCUGAGAGGGUGAACCCCCACACUGGUACUGAGACACGGACCAGACUCCUACGGGAGACAGCAGUGAGGAAUAUUGGACAAUGGGUGGAAGCCUGAUCCAGCCAUCCCGCGUGUAGGAUGACGGCCUUAUGGGUUGUAAACUACUUUUAUCAGGGGAUAAACCUACUUACGUGUAAGUAGCUGAAGGUACCAGAAGAAUAAGCACCGGCUAACUCCGUG
rnacentral:rRNA from 1 species